UUGAAUUUAGCCCUGUGAUGUCAUCAGAGGAUUCUGCAGCCAAUCGGAUCUCUUGUAACAAUGGAUUGGGCAUGCUGCUUGAGACUGCAGGGAGGAGAGGAAUACAGCUAGCUUAUGGUAAGUUAGGAAAAUAACUAUUACACAUUUAAACAUUACUACAGCUGCCAUUAUGCUAAGAUUGGACUUGGCUGAGAUUGAUGAGAGUUGCAAGCCAAAGGAGCUGCCUUGUUUGAUAGGUUAAGACAAGCCCAUCAUGAUGUGAUAGAUUCUACAGGAUGCCCCAGAAACAUCUGGAACUUAUGUGGUUAAAUUGCUGUACAAACACUCGGGACCAGGGCGCAUGUGUAGGAAUGCUUAAUACGUAAUACAUAGUUAAUGCAUUUUGAGAUAAGUAUUGGCUUGCUAAUCGAUUAUUAAUUGCUGCAGUAUGGGUAUAACCGUUGUAUUUCCUCUGUACGUAUGAACUGCAUUAUCUGUGAUAUAAAAGCUUUGUUAACUCAUGACUCGUGGCUCAGCUCUUUGCAGACGCUAGUCUGACUGAGACUCUACAGCUGCAGAAUAAAUUUAUCAUGUUUUUAUUUUAUUUGUUUUUCCUAUGACCUGUGUCCAGAGUUAGUCUGUUUUACCUGAUGCCAAGAGCAGCUGCAACAUUUCCUGGUGCACUGGCCGAGAAGCAUUGAAACACUCUGAGAUGGUGAAAUUCCUCUCCACCCCACCCCCAGCUCCCGUGACGUGCCCCAGCAGACCUCAAAAUGACUCAGGCGCCACUAGACACAUUAAGUCUAGGAGUUCCUCGUGCGUCUCUUGGACUUGCUCCAGGACACCCCGUGGACGCACACCUAUCCGGGUCUAGGAACCACAGAACUGAAUGGUAAGAGCUCUCAUACAGGGGACUUUUGUUCUGUUCUGUCCUGACCUCUCCUGUCCUGACCUCUCGCUAAUAAGGGGACUUAUAAUUGUCUUUCAGUUGUUUACUCUGUCCUUCAGUAUGGGAGAAAGGGGGGUCUAAGUCACUUAAGCCUAUGGACUGUAUGAUCCGUGACUGUAAAAAGGGUUAUAGAGAUGAUUAUGGUGUUAAAAUGUAUUCCAAAAGACUGAUUGUUCUGUGUGAACGGGACUGGCCCGUCAUAUGCCCUGGUUGGGACCCUCUGGAAGGGAUCCAUACUAUAGUAAUUGGUUCACCUAGCCACCCAAAUCAGUUCCCUUAUAUUGAUGCCUGGCAACAGGUAGUCGAGAAACACCCAGAUUGGUUAAAACAGUGCUCUGAAGAGGCGAGUUGUCUCAUGCUUGCCAGACUCAUCUCUAUCCCUAGUCCUACCUGUGCCCCGAAGUCCAUACUCGAUGACCCAGUUGGACCAGACCUACAUGGACACUCUCCCUUACCACAGGCUUACCCCAUCCCCCUGUUCCAUCAGCCAUUACUGUCCCCCGUAUGGUCGACCUGCCCCUGCCUCUUCCUCCCCUGGAGGACCUGGCAGGGGACCUACUUGCCCCAGAUACACCUUCUAAAUCCCCUGAGUAUACCCCAUCUGUUAUACCCCAUCUGUACUCAGUCCAUUGGGGGAAAGAAAAGCCUCUUCAUGGUUGACACUGGGGCCCAGCACUCUGUUGUGACUAAACCAAUUGCCCCGCAUCCGAACAGAUUGUCACUAUAGAAGGGGCCACCGGUAAGUCUGCCACCAGACCAUUGUCAAUUUGUGAGGCCACGUAAUCCAACACCAGUUUCUGUCCAUGCCAGACUGUCCCACUCAACUUCUGGGGAGACAUGUCCUCUCCAAACUCCAAGCUAAGAUCACAUUUCUUCCCAAUGGUACCACAGCUCUUGACCUCCCACAUAGCCUCAGAAUUAUGUCUGUAUCUGUCCCAAAAGAGGAAGAAUGGAGGUUAUUUGUUCUUAAGGCCCUCAUGGAUGGACCCUCACUACCUCCAGGAAUCAUAGACACCCCAGGGAUAUGGGCUGAACAUAACCCCCCCUAGUCUGGCAAUAAACAGGUCUCCUGUCUAAAUUUAACUGAAAUCAGGCAUGUCCCCCGUCAGUCAGAGACAGUACCAUAUCUCACAAGCAGCAGUGAGGGGUAUUCAGAGAUUUUUAGGGAAGUUCAUCCACUUCGGUAUCCUGCUAUUUUGCCAGUCACCCUGGAAUACUCCUCUUUUACCGUACACAAACCAGGUACUAAUGAGUGCAGGCCUGUUCAAGACCUCAGAGUAGUCAACAAUGCUGUUGUCACCAUCCACCCUGUUGUCCCUAAUCCCUACAACCUGCUUGUCUUAAUCCCUGGUGAGACAAUUAACCUGGACAUGAAUACCUCAAGGCUUCAAAAAUUCCACCACCCUAUUUGGAGAAGCACUCAGCUUGCAACUGCGAGAUUUCACGUCCGAACCAGGCCUUUAUGUCCUCCUGCAGUAUGUGGAUGAGAUUCCCAUUUCUGCCACCUCUCAAGACAAAUACCUGCAAACUACCAACCAAUUGUUACAAAUCUUAUGGGAAGCAGGAUACAUUGUGCCCAGAAGAAAAUGGCAAAUAUGCUGUACAGCAGUCAAGUACUUAGGAUUCCAUAUCUCAGAGGGAAGCCAUAAUUUUGCCACAUCCCCACACCCACCAGUCGCCGGAAAGUGCUUGAAUUCUUGGGUGCCGCCGGAUUCUGUUACAUGUGGAUACCUAAUUUCGCUAUCAUUGCUAAGUCCCUCUAUGAGGCCACCAAAGGCCCUGAACAUGACCAAUUCCUCUGGGAACAAGAACAACAGCAGGCCUUCAGGGCCCUGAAUGGGGCCCUAAUCUGAGCCCCUGCACUGAGACUCUCUGAUCACCAGAGAGUGUUCUUCCAGUAUUUCCAGGAGAAGAGGAAGUCUGCAAUAGGUGCCCUCACACAGUACUUGGGUUCAUGGCAGUGUCCUGUUGCCUACCUGCCCAAACAACUGGAUUAAGUGGCCCAAGGCCUACCCCAUUGUCUGAGAGCAGUGGCUGUGGCCGCCCUCCUUGUUGCAGAAGCUGAUGAAUUGACCAUAGGACAAGAACUCUAUGUCCGUAUUCCACAUGCCGUCCAAGCCCUCCUUGACUACAAGGGCAACCACUGGUUUAGUAAUAGUAGAAUGACAAAGUACUAAGCCAUGCUAUGUUAAAAUCCAAGAAUCCACCUUGAAACUGUCAACUCACUGAACCCAGCCACUCAACAUGAUUGCAUGGAGAUCACGGAUGAAGUCUUCUCCAGUAGACCUACCUCCAGGAAAAAACAAAUGCCAAAUAUUUCACUGACAGCAGCAAUUUUGUGAAAGACGGGAUCAGAUAUGCAGGAUAUGCAGUCACUACCAUCAGUUCUGUUGUCGAAGCCAGACCCCUUCUAAAGGGUACAUCUGCACAAAAGGCUGAACCAAUAGCACUGACCAGGCAGGGCCCUGCAACUGGCUGCGAGCCUACAUGUCAACAUCUACAGUGACUCGAAGUAUGCAUUCCUUACAACUCAUGCCCAUGGGGCCCUAUAUAAGGAACGGGUGACACCCAUGUGACAAUUGGAGACAGGCUGGCCAAUGAAAUUACAAAACAUGUUGCUAUGAAAGACUCUGUACCUCAGUCAACCCUUGCCCCGCUGUUCCUGGUACCCAUCUCUGACUGGUCACCCCUUUAUAGUCCUGAUGAACAAAAAUGGCUGUAAACAGAACCAGGCCAUUUCCUGAAUAAAAAGUGGUACCAAUUAGAAGAUGGGAGAAUACUUGUAUCCACGUCACAUUGUAAGGGCUCUCCAUGAAUCCACCCAUGCAGGAAAAUCAUCCAUGAGGCUACACUUAACCGUUUCUUCUACCUACCAGGCCUGUCUACAGUAAUGCAAGCAGUGGAAUGUGCCAAAAAUAACCCCUGACAAAGACCAAGCCAACCACCAGGGAUUCAAACUGUUGGAGCAUUACCUAUGUCUAAUUUGCUCAUUGACUUUACUGUUAUGCCAAAAUCUGGUGAAUUCCACUACAUCCUUGUUAUUGUAUGCUCAUACUCUGGCUGGGUAGAAGACCGGCCCACCAGAACAGAAAAAAAACAAAGUGGUCCAAUUUAUGCUCUUUGAAAUCAUCCCAAGGAACUGGAUACUCACAUCGGUGGGAUCUGAUAAUGGCCAGGCCUUAGUGACGUGUGUAGUAUACCCAGGUGCUAAUAAAUACAGAAGUGGCAGUGCUGCUAAAAUUCCACUGUAAAAUCAACCACACAAUUUCACAAUAAAAUACAAAAAACACACAGAAAAAAGUGGACAGCACUCUAGUGAAGCAUGCACUAGUGGAUAAAGAGAGUAAUGUGGUAAUAUCUAAAAUUCAUAUAUGUCAUGUAAAACUCCUUUCCACUAGUGCUGCAAGAAAUAAAAGCUCACAUAGGCUAUACAAUCUAGCUAUAAAUAAAGUAUAUCUAAAUCUUCAUAAGUACCACUCACAUUUUCAUGAGCCUGUAUAUAACUGGCUCAGGUAUAACAGCGUAGAGCUUCCUUGGUCCUACCAGGUUGUAGUAAAAACAGAGGGAAUCAGAUUAGAACCAAGUAUUCAUUUUUUUAAAACAAGAAGCAUAAAAAAAUCUUACAUGUAAGUAGGCAAGAUGCUGUGGAAUGAAAUAAAACCUGAAUGCCCCGGACAAAGGCGCUUUAGUAGCGCUAAAACGCACGUCAGCUUGCUGUUUUUCUUUUUAAUUAUUGACUUCACGAUUGUUUGCACGAUCGUUAUGUAGUUUGAAGAAUAUUUUUUUGUGGGGAGGACUACCAAGACUAGCAGUGUGUGGACGUAUCUGGAGGGAAUUCUGCUAUUUGGGGGAUUGGGGAAUCCAUAAGGAGGAGUUUAUAGGUACUAUUUCAAGUUUAGAAAAUCUGAAUGUUUGGUAGCAUCAAGCCUUCCUGUUUAUUUUUUUAGUCAGCGACCUAAAAAGUCGAAUCCUAUCUAGUUAGUUUAUAGAAGGCUGCUGCAUAUAUAUUUACAUUUGUUCCUAUUUUUUAAGGUGCCAUUUACAGCCCUAGUAGGCUGGUGUGUGUGUGUGUGUGUGUAUAUAUAUAUAUAUAUAUAUAUUAUUUUUUAAGGUGAAAUGUACAGCCCACUUGAUGUUACUUCUAUCUAAGGCAGUGAUGGCGAACCUUUUUGAGCCUGAGUGCCCAAACCGCAAUACAUGCCAUCUUUUUCCCCCUCAAUUAAACCUGAAUACUGAGGUUUAAGUUUAGAAAAAACAACUCGUACAGUUGUCCGAACUAAUUCUCUUCUUCUUUCCCCCCAGCAUCUUGCCUUCUCUACCCACAGCAUAUUCCCCUCUCCCCCCAGCACCUCCUUCUCCUCUCCCCAAAUUCUCCUCCUCUCCCCUUCUCCCCCCAGCAUCUCCUCCUCCUCUCCCCCCAGCAUCUCCUCCUCUCUCCCCCAGCAUCUCCUCCUCCUCUCCCCCAGCAUCUCCUCUUCUCUCCCCCACUCCUCUCUCCCCAGCAUCUCCUCUUCUCUCAGAUUUUCCUCUUCUCUGCCCUUGGCAUCUUCUUUCUUCUUUUUGGUGCGGGUGGGAGUUUGAUGUCCUCCCAGGCUCCCUACCUCCUUCACGCUGCUGUAAGGGGGUGUGGGCGCGAGGGAGCACUGACUUAUGUGCUGUUCCAGCACUGCCCUCUGCUGAUGCUGCCGGCAAAACAGGAAAUUACGUCAAUCAGGCGGCGCCGCCUGAUUGACGUAAUUUCAUGUCUCCCGGCGGCAUCAAUGGAGGGAGCAGUGCUGUAACAGCACGUAAGUCAGUGCUCCCUCGCAGCCUUCCAUCCCACCCACCCACCCACCAGUGCCACCUUAACAAAAUUAUGGGCCCCGGGCAAAGCAAUGCACUGGGGCCCUGCCUACACACAACUCACAGGAAUAAAAAUUUAAAUUAUAGAUAAAAUUAGGCUUAUAUUUAUUAGUAUCUCCAACAAAUGCAAAACAUACAUAAAAUACAUACACACAGACUGCUGAAUACAUACACACCGACACACACACAGUCCGCUGAAUACAUGCACUCACAAACUUACACACAGACUGCUCAAUACAUAAAGACUGCUGAAUACACAUACACACAGACUGCUGAAUACACACUCACACACACACAGAAUGUUGAGUACAGACAGACUGCGGAGUACACACAAACUGCUGAAUACAUACACACACACGCUGCAUUGAGGGGGGCAGUGUACGUGUUUGUGUGUACAGGUGCGGAGUGCUCUGUAUGAGGGGUGCUGUAUGUGUGUGUGUAUGUGUGGGGGGGGGUCUGGAUGCUCUGUGUGAGAGGGGUACUGUGUGUGGGGAGGUGCUGUGUGUGUGUGUGUGUGUGAGGGGGUGCUGUGUGUGUGUGGGAGGUGCUGGGUGCUAUGUAUGAGAGGGGUGCUGUGUGUGAAAGGGAUGCUGUGUGUGUGGGGGGUGCUGUGUGUGAGUGAGGGGUGCUGGGUGCUCUGUGUGAAGAGGGGUGCUGUGUUUGUAUGUGUGGGGUGCUGUGUGUGUAUGUGUGGGAGGUGCUGGGUACUCUAUGUGAGGAGGGGUGCUGUGUGUGAAAGGGGUGCUGUGUGGUGGGGGGCUGCUGUUGUUUGUGUGUGUGUGGGGGGUGUUGUGUGUGUGUGUGUGGGGUGCUGUGUGGGGGUUCUCUGUGUGAGAGGGUGCUGUGUGUGUGGGGAGAUUACUGGGUGCUAUGUAUGAGAGGGUGUUGUGUGUAGAAGGGGUUGCUGGGUGUGUAUGUGUGGGGGUGCUGUGUGUGUGUGGGGGUGCUGGGUGUUCUAUGUGAGGGGGUGCUGUGUGUGAAAGGGGGUGCUGUGUGUGUGGGGAGGGCUGUUGUGUGUGUGUGUGAGGGGUGCUGUGUGUGUGUGUGUGUGUGUGUGGGGGGGUGUGCUGUGUGUGGGGGCUGCUGUGUGUGGGGGAGGUGCUGGGUGCUAUGUAUGAGAGGGGUGCAGUGUGUGAAAGGGGUGCUGUGUAAUGGGGGUGGCUGCUGCUGUGUGUGUUGGUGGGGGAGGGCUGAAAAUAUAUUAUUACAAUCUGAAUCCACCCUCCCUUCUGCUUACCUUAUGUGAAGGAGGGGGGGACACACAUAAAUCCCUGGUGGUCCGGUGGUGGUAAGAGGGACAGGUCCUGCAGCUCUGCCGUCCUGCAGUUUUGGGCAGGCAGGUGCCUACUCUGCAUUGAUGGCGAGCUAUGGCCGCGUGCCCAUAAAGAGCGUGUGCCAUAGGUUCGCCAUCACUGUAGUUUCGAUGAUUAUUUUCACCUUUUGUAAUUGAAAAUAUAUUUUCUGGUUUUGAGUGUAUUACACUAUUUCUAUAUCCACCUUUUCCUAGUACAUCCGAUUUGAGUUACAUUGUUUCCUUUUUUGAUAUCAGGGCGAGUGUAUAUUUAUUUAGCAUUCCACCAGGUUUUCAUGAAACAGUUUACCAUAUUUUACCCACAACUAUCUCUUGCCUCAACUGUCUCCAUACGUUUACACAGGCCACCAAAAAGGCACAUCUUUCAUUAUUAAUGCAAACCCCUCUGUACAUAUUAUAAAAUGCAAUAAAGACUAAGGGCUCGUGUAAAUUGGCAUAAAUAGUGACUUUAUUGGUAUAUCUGCCCCAUAGAUUGGUGUAGUUUGGCUCAAAGGCUGGAUCCAUUCUUUAUAUGAACUUGUAAAGGGGUUUACCAUCAAACCCACCAUCCCAUCUUGGAUCUACUGAGCUAUAAAAAAAAAAAAAAAAAAGGUAAAAUAGUGUUUAUGGAAGGGAUAUUAUUAAGAUAUAUAUUUUUUGCAUACUCAAAUCUUUGUANNNNNNNNNNNNNNNNNNNNNNNNNNNNNNNNNNNNNNNNNNNNNNNNNNNNNNNNNNNNNNNNNNNNNNNNNNNNNNNNNNNNNNNNNNNNNNNNNNNNCAAGCAGCAGUGAGGGGUAUUCAGAGAUUUUUAGGGAAGUUCAUCCACUUCGGUAUCCUGCUAUUUUGCCAGUCACCCUGGAAUACUCCUCUUUUACCGUACACAAACCAGGUACUAAUGAGUGCAGGCCUGUUCAAGACCUCAGAGUAGUCAACAAUGCUGUUGUCACCAUCCACCCUGUUGUCCCUAAUCCCUACAACCUGCUUGUCUUAAUCCCUGGUGAGACAAUUAACCUGGACAUGAAUACCUCAAGGCUUCAAAAAUUCCACCACCCUAUUUGGAGAAGCACUCAGCUUGCAACUGCGAGAUUUCACGUCCGAACCAGGCCUUUAUGUCCUCCUGCAGUAUGUGGAUGAGAUUCCCAUUUCUGCCACCUCUCAAGACAAAUACCUGCAAACUACCAACCAAUUGUUACAAAUCUUAUGGGAAGCAGGAUACAUUGUGCCCAGAAGAAAAUGGCAAAUAUGCUGUACAGCAGUCAAGUACUUAGGAUUCCAUAUCUCAGAGGGAAGCCAUAAUUUUGCCACAUCCCCACACCCACCAGUCGCCGGAAAGUGCUUGAAUUCUUGGGUGCCGCCGGAUUCUGUUACAUGUGGAUACCUAAUUUCGCUAUCAUUGCUAAGUCCCUCUAUGAGGCCACCAAAGGCCCUGAACAUGACCAAUUCCUCUGGGAACAAGAACAACAGCAGGCCUUCAGGGCCCUGAAUGGGGCCCUAAUCUGAGCCCCUGCACUGAGACUCUCUGAUCACCAGAGAGUGUUCUUCCAGUAUUUCCAGGAGAAGAGGAAGUCUGCAAUAGGUGCCCUCACACAGUACUUGGGUUCAUGGCAGUGUCCUGUUGCCUACCUGCCCAAACAACUGGAUUAAGUGGCCCAAGGCCUACCCCAUUGUCUGAGAGCAGUGGCUGUGGCCGCCCUCCUUGUUGCAGAAGCUGAUGAAUUGACCAUAGGACAAGAACUCUAUGUCCGUAUUCCACAUGCCGUCCAAGCCCUCCUUGACUACAAGGGCAACCACUGGUUUAGUAAUAGUAGAAUGACAAAGUACUAAGCCAUGCUAUGUUAAAAUCCAAGAAUCCACCUUGAAACUGUCAACUCACUGAACCCAGCCACUCAACAUGAUUGCAUGGAGAUCACGGAUGAAGUCUUCUCCAGUAGACCUACCUCCAGGAAAAAACAAAUGCCAAAUAUUUCACUGACAGCAGCAAUUUUGUGAAAGACGGGAUCAGAUAUGCAGGAUAUGCAGUCACUACCAUCAGUUCUGUUGUCGAAGCCAGACCCCUUCUAAAGGGUACAUCUGCACAAAAGGCUGAACCAAUAGCACUGACCAGGCAGGGCCCUGCAACUGGCUGCGAGCCUACAUGUCAACAUCUACAGUGACUCGAAGUAUGCAUUCCUUACAACUCAUGCCCAUGGGGCCCUAUAUAAGGAACGGGUGACACCCAUGUGACAAUUGGAGACAGGCUGGCCAAUGAAAUUACAAAACAUGUUGCUAUGAAAGACUCUGUACCUCAGUCAACCCUUGCCCCGCUGUUCCUGGUACCCAUCUCUGACUGGUCACCCCUUUAUAGUCCUGAUGAACAAAAAUGGCUGUAAACAGAACCAGGCCAUUUCCUGAAUAAAAAGUGGUACCAAUUAGAAGAUGGGAGAAUACUUGUAUCCACGUCACAUUGUAAGGGCUCUCCAUGAAUCCACCCAUGCAGGAAAAUCAUCCAUGAGGCUACACUUAACCGUUUCUUCUACCUACCAGGCCUGUCUACAGUAAUGCAAGCAGUGGAAUGUGCCAAAAAUAACCCCUGACAAAGACCAAGCCAACCACCAGGGAUUCAAACUGUUGGAGCAUUACCUAUGUCUAAUUUGCUCAUUGACUUUACUGUUAUGCCAAAAUCUGGUGAAUUCCACUACAUCCUUGUUAUUGUAUGCUCAUACUCUGGCUGGGUAGAAGACCGGCCCACCAGAACAGAAAAAAAACAAAGUGGUCCAAUUUAUGCUCUUUGAAAUCAUCCCAAGGAACUGGAUACUCACAUCGGUGGGAUCUGAUAAUGGCCAGGCCUUAGUGACGUGUGUAGUAUACCCAGGUGCUAAUAAAUACAGAAGUGGCAGUGCUGCUAAAAUUCCACUGUAAAAUCAACCACACAAUUUCACAAUAAAAUACAAAAAACACACAGAAAAAAGUGGACAGCACUCUAGUGAAGCAUGCACUAGUGGAUAAAGAGAGUAAUGUGGUAAUAUCUAAAAUUCAUAUAUGUCAUGUAAAACUCCUUUCCACUAGUGCUGCAAGAAAUAAAAGCUCACAUAGGCUAUACAAUCUAGCUAUAAAUAAAGUAUAUCUAAAUCUUCAUAAGUACCACUCACAUUUUCAUGAGCCUGUAUAUAACUGGCUCAGGUAUAACAGCGUAGAGCUUCCUUGGUCCUACCAGGUUGUAGUAAAAACAGAGGGAAUCAGAUUAGAACCAAGUAUUCAUUUUUUUAAAACAAGAAGCAUAAAAAAAUCUUACAUGUAAGUAGGCAAGAUGCUGUGGAAUGAAAUAAAACCUGAAUGCCCCGGACAAAGGCGCUUUAGUAGCGCUAAAACGCACGUCAGCUUGCUGUUUUUCUUUUUAAUUAUUGACUUCACGAUUGUUUGCACGAUCGUUAUGUAGUUUGAAGAAUAUUUUUUUGUGGGGAGGACUACCAAGACUAGCAGUGUGUGGACGUAUCUGGAGGGAAUUCUGCUAUUUGGGGGAUUGGGGAAUCCAUAAGGAGGAGUUUAUAGGUACUAUUUCAAGUUUAGAAAAUCUGAAUGUUUGGUAGCAUCAAGCCUUCCUGUUUAUUUUUUUAGUCAGCGACCUAAAAAGUCGAAUCCUAUCUAGUUAGUUUAUAGAAGGCUGCUGCAUAUAUAUUUACAUUUGUUCCUAUUUUUUAAGGUGCCAUUUACAGCCCUAGUAGGCUGGUGUGUGUGUGUGUGUGUGUAUAUAUAUAUAUAUAUAUAUAUAUUAUUUUUUAAGGUGAAAUGUACAGCCCACUUGAUGUUACUUCUAUCUAAGGCAGUGAUGGCGAACCUUUUUGAGCCUGAGUGCCCAAACCGCAAUACAUGCCAUCUUUUUCCCCCUCAAUUAAACCUGAAUACUGAGGUUUAAGUUUAGAAAAAACAACUCGUACAGUUGUCCGAACUAAUUCUCUUCUUCUUUCCCCCCAGCAUCUUGCCUUCUCUACCCACAGCAUAUUCCCCUCUCCCCAGCACCUCCUUCUCCCUCUCCCCAAAUUCUCCUCCCUCUCCCCUUUCUCCCCCAGCAUCUCCUCCCUCCUCCCCAGUGCAUCUCCCUCCUCUCUCCCCCAGCAUCUCCCUCCCUUCCUCUCCCCCAGCAUCCUCUUCUCUCCCCCAGCAUCUCCCCCUCUCCCCCAGCAUCUCCUCCUCUCUCCCCCCAGCAUCUCCUCUUCUCUCCCCCAGAUUUUCCUCUUCUCUGCCCUUGGCAUCUUCUUUCUUCUUUUUGGUGCGGGUGGGAGUUUGAUGUCCUCCCAGGCUCCCUACCUCCUUCACGCUGCUGUAAGGGGGUGUGGGCGCGAGGGAGCACUGACUUAUGUGCUGUUCCAGCACUACUCCCUCUGCUGAUGCUGCCGGCAAAACAGGAAAUUACGUCAAUCAGGCGGCGCCGCCUGAUUGACGUAAUUUCAUGUCUCCCGGCGGCAUCAAUGGAGGGAGCAGUGCUGUAACAGCACGUAAGUCAGUGCUCCCUCGCAGCCUUCCAUCCCACCCACCCACCCACCAGUGCCACCUUAACAAAAUUAUGGGCCCCGGGCAAAGCAAUGCACUGGGGCCCUGCCUACACACAACUCACAGGAAUAAAAAUUUAAAUUAUAGAUAAAAUUAGGCUUAUAUUUAUUAGUAUCUCCAACAAAUGCAAAACAUACAUAAAAUACAUACACACAGACUGCUGAAUACAUACACACCGACACACACACAGUCCGCUGAAUACAUGCACUCACAAACUUACACACAGACUGCUCAAUACAUAAAGACUGCUGAAUACACACACUGCUGAAUACACAUACAGACAGACUGCUGAAUACACACUCACACACAGACAGAAUGCUGAGUACAAACAGACUGCGGAGUACACACAAACUGCUGAAUACAUACACACAAACACACACACAUGCUGCAUUGAGGGGUGCAGUGUAUGUGUUUAUGUGUAUGGGUGCUGAGUGUGUGUGGAGUGCUGUGUAUGAGGUGUGCUGUGUGUGUGCGAGAGGGGUGCUGUGCUGUGUGUGGGGGUAUUGUGUGUGGGGGGUGCUGUGUGUGUGAAGGGUGCUGUGUGUGGGGCUGUGCUGGGAGCUCUGUGUGAGAGGGGUGCUGUGUGUUGGGGGGUGCUGUGUGUUGGGGGGUGCUGUGUUGUGUGUUUGGGGGGGUCUGGGAGCUCUGUGUGAGAGGGGUGCUGUGUGUGUGUGAGUGAGGGGGUGUUGUGUGUGUGUGUGGGGGGGGGUGCUGGGUGCUGUGUGUGAGAGGGGUGCUGUGUGUGAAAGGGGUGCUGAGCGUGUGGGGGGGGGCUGUGUGCGCUGUGUGAAAGGGGUGCUGUGUGUGUGUGUGGGGAGGGUUGCUGGGUGCUAUGUAUGAGAGGGGUGCUGUGUUUGAAAGGGGUGCUAUGUGGAGGGGACUGCUGUGUGUGUUGGUGGGGGAGGGCUGCAAAUAUAUUAUUACAAUCUGAAUCCCCCCCUCCCUUCUGCUUACCUUAUGUGAAGGAGGGGGGGACACAGAAAUCCCUGGUGGUCUGGUGGUGGAAAGAGGGACAGGUCCUGCAACUCUCCCGUCCUCCUGUCCACGCGAUGCUGUGUGGAGCGUUGCCAUGGUAACGCACGGCAACGCUCCACACGGAUUGCUCGCGGGAGGACGAGAGAGCUGCUUCUCAGAUCCCUCCCCCGUCCUCCCGACACGGAAGCAGAGUAGGCACCUGCCGUUUUGGGCAGGCAGGUGCCUAAUCUGUAUUGAUGGCGAGCUAUGGCCGCGUGUCCACAGAGAGGGCCCGGCGUGCCACUUGUGGCACGCGUGCCAUAGGUUCGCCAUCACUGAUGUAAGGUAACAGUUUGUUUGGUCAUACUGCUACAUUGGCACCAUUUGUUUCCCAUUGUUUCUAACUCGAUGUGGUUUACCUAUAGUAGAGGUACUGAUUAAUAUGACUUUUUCCCUUUCUAAUAUAACCAAAUUAGGUUCACUUUAAUUGAUAUAGAACAACCUUAUUAGGUUUUCCAACUCUAAUUCCUAUUAGUCCUAUUAGCUCAUAUCCUAUUUAGUCCACAACAGAAUCUCACCCUACUGAUACUAUGCAGAGUCUCUGAUUGUAGCUCUUUUUAAUGGGUUUAUGUUAUGUUUUUUGACUCAGAAUAUUAAAUAAAAUCUAAUUGUAGAUAUCGUAUUGAAGUAUAUUAGCUGUAUAUUCCUCAAGGGAUCCUUUUGUGUCCUUUGGAUUGUAUAUCCAUUGGUCAUUUAUGUAUUUAUUUAUGAAAUAAAACACAACACAUUUCAGCUAUUCGGUGUCUUGAUCUUGUGCAGGUCAGGGAUGAGAUUGAAACUGGGGUUAACUUCAGGGUCUUUAUUUGUUAUCUUAGACAUUAUAGUAAGAACAGGAUAUCCUAUAAUUGUAGUUAUAGGAAAGAGAGAUAGUAAACAGAAUACAAGAACAAAGAAAUAUGCAGACCGUCUCAAUUAUAUGAAUGAAACUUACUGCAUUGACUGGAAAAAAUAUAUCUAUGUAUAGCGCGAUGUUCCAAAUAUAGAACCUGGCUAUUAGAAAUAAUAUGGUCAGAGACCCUAAUUAAACAAAGUAUAUACAAGUGAACCUACAAUCCUAUGCCAGCCCAGGGUAGUAUAGAUCAAGAGGUAGUAAAAAAGAUAACCUCACUCCCCCUUAUAAUUGUAAGCUUUAUUGUAAUCUGCUAUAGGGAUAGGAGUAUACAGUAGCUAAGUCUCUAUAAUCCAUGCAUCCUAGGAAGUAUCCUGGUCACACUAGAAACAUAUUAAGAAAAACAGAGAGAGAUAAGGACUGAAAAUAGAAGUAAAAAAAUCAGUCAAAAACAGACUGAUAAUUAGCAUUAAUAAAGCCUCUCUCCCUGUAAAGCUAGCUAGAUAGGCAUAGGAAAGAAAAGAAGAAAACGAUAUAAAAUAAAGUUAAAUUAAAUGGUGAUCAUGGUGCUCCAAACACCAGUGCCCAGUGCAGAAAAAACGCCCAACGUACGUUUCGGUGCAGAGAGAUGCACCUUCGUCAGGGGCCAACAGAUAACUGAAGAGAAGCCUCUUAAAUACCCCAAUUGCCAGGAAGCAUGAUUACCUUGUAGCCAAUGGAGUGUGGGGGUGUAUACCUCCCCAGCUGCCUCUAAUAUCCUGGCUAUUCCUCUGUGAUUGCUAAUGCUCAUUCAUCUGUAUGAAGGGGAAAUCCCUCAGCCGGUCACGUGACCUGUGAUGUCAUGCGUCACGUGACGUAUCCGGCAUUCUCCUAACGGGGCGUGGCUCAUUCAUCAUAGUGCUGCAGUACCGCCCAUCCGAGCCUCUCCUGUCCAUCAUCCUCACAUGGGUUGAUCCCCUGUGACAGAUGGGCGGAGCUAGGUAUUCUCUGUGUAUGGAGAAACCGAAAUUGUCCAAAUUAAGGCUCAAAUUGAUAAGCUGCAUAUUGAUAAUGUAUCAUUCCAAAGUACCAAUGUGUACUAUAUAGGAUGUACAGAAUCAGCUGAAAAUAUAAGGCAGUGCUGAUUACAUAUUAUUCUAAUACUGAAUCUAUUAAAGAUGUAGUAAAGAAUAUGAGAGGACACCCCAAUAAUAAGAGAAAAAUUGAAUGAUAAGGGGUCCUGGGAUGUUGUUAACUCCCACUCCCCCGUCCCAGGCAAGGAUAUAUGAUAAUAAAUAUAUUUAGUGUUCAUAGGACCCAUGCUAGGAUGCAAAAUUAGCAUGGUACAUCCUGCCGCUAUAUCCUGUACACUGAGUCACUUGACAAUAUGAACCUCUGAAUGACCAGAUAUGACUUAGUCCGUAAAAUAAAAAUAAUAAUAAUAAGGCUAGCAUUCUUUUUGUCAAGAGGUCUUUAAACUUAUGGCACCUGAGGAUCCUAGUUGGUCUCCCAUACAAGUACUAGCCAGGUCCAAGUCUGGAUGGCUUCUGAGAUCUGACGAGAUCAGGCAUUUUCAGACUGGUAUGGCCAUUGAUAUUUUCAUUCAAGUGCUCAGCAAGCUUGGUCUAGGAACAUUAUUGGUAUUAUAGUCAUUAUAUAGCUAUUUCCUUGGGAGAAUUCAAGCAUUAGCAAUUUAGUGGUCCUCAUCCGGUAAUCAUGAGAAUAAAUUUAUAUGAUAAAAAAUAAUAUAAAAAAUAAUAAUAAAUAGAAAAGAAUAGUGAUAAUAGUAGUAAUAGUAAUAAGCAAAGAAUAUACCCAUUGUGGAACAAACCGCGCUAUAUUUACAAAUUUACAAGUGUAUCAGGCCAUAAGGCUCACUCAGAAUAGAUUAGUGCAGAGAUCACCCGCCGAGUACCACUGCCCGUAUAUGGGUCUGAGUCUCACACCUGGUAUCAGUGAUCUGCAAUAAAUGGUGUAUAUGAGAAACCUUCGUUAAGUCCCAAGGGUGACAGGGUUUUGAGCUUAUAGAUCCAGAAGCUCUCCCUUUGGAGUAGCUUCUUGUCUAAAUCCCCCCCUCUUGGUUCCAAGGUAACCCUUUCAAUACCACUAAAUCUGAUUCCUUCAGAUGAGCCCCCAUGAUGUAGUUUCAAAUGUUUAGAGAUAGGGGUGUCGAUUUGUCUUGUGGGGUUUACCGAAUUGACAUGUUCCCGUAUCCUAAGUUUAAACAUCCUAAAGGUUUUUCCCACAUACAGUUUUUUGCACGAACAGGAAAGUAAGUAGAUAAGCCCUUUGGACUGACAGUUAAAGAAAUUCUUUACUUUGAAUUCCUGUGUGCCGAGGGAGUCUGGGAAUGUUUUGGAGGGUCUACGUAGUAAACAGAAUAGAAUAUCUGAAAUUACAGGGAAGUAAAUAGGCUAUGGAAAAAAAAGGAUUUAGACAACAAGCCCAAAAUGGAAAAAGGUAAACCUAUUAAAGAAGUUAUAGGUAGAAUAAUUGAAGAUAAACCUAUAAGAGAGAUUAUAGGUACAAUAUAGAGGGAUAAGAUGGAACAGAAUUUAUGCCCCAGAACAGGAUAUAAAGAAACAACUAAACAGAACUAGACAGGAAUAUAAGGAAUACUUAAAUAGGGUUGUAGUUAUUCAGUCUAUUUGGAUAAGAGGUUGUAUUGUAGUAGCAGGUCUUUUAUGAUGGAUGCAAAUAUAGUUAGGAAUAUUAGUAAAUCUGAUGUAGGAGUAACAUAGAUAGCCACAAAGUAAAUUCAAGUCCAGUUUAGAUUUAAGCAAGUUGGAUGUCCAGCAGGAAUUUAAGGUGUUCCGGUUGGUUUGCUGCAGGUUUGUAGAUAAGGCAGGAAUGUAGCGUUGUACAGGCAAGCUUGGAGCAGGUUGGUGAAUAAAGCAGGUUAUAAAGCCAAUAAGGAAAGUCCACAGGUUAUAACACAGGAGCCAGGAUAUGAAGUCUUUCAGGCAAUCGUCAACUUCAAUGUCAAGGCCAUGAGUUGAGUUGGGCGUUACCUUUUGUAGGAACCCAAUUAGUCCAGGCAGGUGAGAAUGAUCAGUGUGAGUGUUCAAACUAGUGGUCAAACAAAAUCCAUGUAGAAACUUUUUUUUUUUUUUUUUUUAGGAACAGAAUAUACAGAACAAAAGUCUUGCUUGUCAGGACAGGAUCCUGACAUUCGGCCUUUCUCAGGUGUAGAUUCUUGCUAUCCAUAUUCCCACUAUUUAAACCCAAAUUUUUGGCGCCAAAUGGCUGACUGACUCCUUCCUCCUUUCCCAGAAGAACUGUCAGUUUCCUGUCGAACGCCUCGAGGAAGCCGGCCGCUAUGCGUCCUCCCCUUUUUAUGACGUGGCGCACGCGUGCCGACGCCAAGCUAGAGGCAGUAUGGAAGGUGGGGUUUACAAACGUCCUCUUACGUUUUGGGGGCGUGACUACAUUGAUCACGCCCCCAAUCAUAUAAAAGCUCAAUUAACCAAAGGUUCAGUGCCCUGUUCUGGUACCUAGGCUAGUGUCCCUAGAGUGCGUUAUAUUCAGGUUCUGUGACUUGGCUUAUUCUCUGACUUCUGGUUCCCUUGACUCGGCUCUGGUUUUUCGUAUUUGGUACUUCUGGUUCCCUCUGACUAGGCCUGUCUUUGACUAUUCUUAUCUUUUAGCCCGGCCAUUCUAAUGACCGGUAUGAUAGUUGGUGGGUUUAUUAUUCUUUGUGUUGGGUCACCUAUUCCUGACAAUUAGUUAUUGGGAUCAUCCUCAUGAUUGAAUCUUUCUUGAAUUUUUUCAGCCCGUUUACCUCUCCUUUCACAGAUAUCCAAAAGCCAGAUGUUGAGAGACAAUUUGGGGAAGUACAAGGGAGAUCUAGAAAAUAGUUACAAGCAUAUAAACAAAAAGCUAAUAAACCCACUGUGAACAAGUUACUUUUGUGUGUGAUUUUAAUUCUCAGAGUAAACUUUAGAAAAAUAUUUUAAACAUACAUUGGCACAUAUUAAACCAAUACAUAGGCCCUAAACCAAAGGUAGUGUAUAGGGGAGCGAAAAACCUCAUAAAAACCCUAACUAAAAGUUGUAUUGUAUAUAAUGUUGAAAGUAGGAAUACACUUGGAGAAAAAUUAAAGGGUUUUUAUAAGUGUGGCCAGUGUAUGGCAUGCAAGGAAACCACUGUUAAGAAUAAAUGUACCAAUAAUUUUAUCUCCAAUGUCACCAAUAAAAGUUACAAUGUUAAUUAUUUUAUCACAUAUAACACUCAGAAUGUUAUUUAUCUUUUAACAUGCGACUGUGGGUUACAUUAUGUAGGCAGGACUAUUAGACUCCUUAAAGUAAGAAUUGGGGAACAUGUUAGGAGCAUCAAGAAAAAAAUGGUAAAUCAUUCAGUUCCAGCUCAUUUUGCCCAGUUCCAUAACAGUAUUUCCAAAUCCCUCCACAUUUUCGGAAUAUAGAGUGUAAAAAAAUCCUAGAGAGGAGGGGAUCACUUAAAAAAGAUAAAUAAAUCAGAAAUGAAUUGGAUUUUCGAACUUGAAACUUUGUCCCCUAGGGGACGUAAAGGACCGCUAUAGUGCCAGGAAAACAAACUAGUUUUCCUGGCACUAUAGUGUUAAUAGGUCCCCCCCCCACCGUCAUGGCCCCCCUCCCGCCUGGCUGAAGGGAGAGGAAGGGGUUAAAUCACUUACCUUUCUCCAACACCAGGCUCCCUCAGCGCUCGGGACUCUCCUCCUCCUUCCGAUGUCAUCGGCUGAAUGCGCAUGUGUCUCAAUGCUUUCCUAUGGACGCUGGCGUCUUCUCACUGUAAAAAUCACAGUGAGAAGCCCGCAAGCGCCUCUAGCGGCUGUCAAUGAGACAGCCACUAGAGGAUGGAUUAACCCAUAUGUAAACAUAGCCGUUUCUGUGAAACAGCUAUGUUUACAGCAGGCAGGGUUAACCCUAGAUGGAUCUGGCACCCAGACCACUUCAUUGAGCUGGUCUGGGUGCUUAUAGUGGUCCUUUAAUAUAGACUUUGAGAUAUACAAUGUCCCAUUUUUAGGGGACUUUUAUAGGGUAUUACAAUAUAUUAUAAAUAUAAUGUAACCCUGACAUACUUUUAAGGAUGUAUUUAUAUCUUGAUUUGUACUUUUUUUUAAUCUUAUUUUAAUCUAUUGUAUUACUGUUCUUUUGUUUCCCAUACUUUAUUAGGUAUUUUGGACUAUUUGUCAUAUUUUAAAAUGGCCGCCGGAGUACCUCUGGUUGACGGACCAACUAAUAAAUGAUGAAACUACUUUUACUGCAUAAUGGCACCUACCACUACAGAACAGAAAUGACAAACACAAAAUGGCCACCAAACUGUUUCCGGCGUAAGAGGAAUACUGCAAGUCGACAUACUUCUGGGUAUACCAAGAUGGUGACAGGAAACUGCCGAUCCUUCUGGGAAAGGAGGAAGGAGUAGUCAGUAAAUCACCAUCUUUUGGCACCAAAGAUUUGGGUUUAAAUAGUGGGAAUAUGGAUAGCAAGAAUCUACACCUGAAGAAGGCCGAAUAGCCGAAACGCAUUGUGUUCUAUUUCAUUCCACAGCAUCUUGCCUACUUACAUGUAAG
rnacentral:lncRNA from 1 species